UAGGCGGCAGGAGAUCAGAAGCGAACGUCCAACUUGGAGUUAGUACAACUGGGGUCAGGUCCAAAGCAAACUGCCUGAUUAGCGAAACAAUUUGUAUUUUACAAUGACAGCAAAUAGGUAAAUCUUGCGAGACUCAGGAAAUCCUAGAGGACCGUGAAUGCGAGCACUGCCUGCUUCGCAGGUUGCACGUUGAUACGGAGGUGUCAUUGCCUCUGCUUUUUCGUGCUCCUAUUCCAGGGAUAUAAACAAGAGGGACUCAAUUUGCUAAGGUUACUUUUUUUCUCCCUCUCCCUCUUGUUUUUACAAUCUACAUGUAAAGACUAAUUGGCUGUGUUUUUCCCAGCUAUUUUAUGCUUCUCUUGCUCUGGUUACAAGUCGUACUAAACCAGUAUAUCCACGGGGACCUAUAGACAGCCAGCAUUUCCAAACGACAUGCAGCAUGCCCCUUUCUUUUUAAGUGUAAAACAUUUACAAGUAAAUUUACAAACGCAUUAAGAACAUUUCCCCGGCUGGCUGUUAGUGUUUAUUUCUUCCCCUUCUCCUCCUGGGAGCUGACACCUCCCAGCCCUCACCUUUCGCACGCUGCUCCCCCGUUACUUUGCCUCCUUCCCUCCCCGCCGCCCCUCUCCCUCCUCCUUUCCCAGUUCAGCAGCGGAGAUUUCUGUUUGUGCCAGUGGGGCGGCCUGGCGAGACCGCAAUUGCUCUACCCCACAGAUUGACGAGCCCUCAGAUGCCGAUUUACUGUACAUGGCAGCCACGCUGGAGCCGAGGCACAUCUGGAGUGGAGUCUCAACACAGUGGGAUUUUUAAGGCUACACAACUUUGGACCUACGUGCAAGUUCAAGUAACAGCAAAACCCGUGGAACUUGUGUUCACAAACUGUUUAUUCUAGUGGGUUUUGUACUCUGUGACCAUCAUCCAGAAACAAAGAGAGAAGAGCACUCUGAAAAUUGGAGAUCUGAGGGUUUAAAAAGUGUACCAGUAGGUGUUAGUCUGCAAAAAUAUGCGUGGGAGAAAAGGACAGUGAAACUAAGCCACCUAUUAAUACUGUACUUUAAAGGGCAAUAGAUGCCUUUAUCAUUAAAAUAAACUGAGAAAUCUGCCUAAAAGUAAAGAAGGA
rnacentral:lncRNA from 1 species